rnacentral:rRNA from 1 species
UACGUAGGGUGCAAGCGUUGUCCGGAAUUAUUGGGCGUAAAGAGCUCGUAGGCGGUCUGUCGCGUCGGCUGUGAAAUCCCGAGGCUCAACCUCGGGUCUGCAGUCGAUACGGGCAAACUUGAGUGUUGCAGGGGAGACUGGAAUUCCUGGUGUAGCGGUGAAAUGCGCAGAUAUCAGGAGGAACACCGGUGGCGAAGGCGGGUCUCUGGGACGGUACUGACGCUGAGACGCGAAAGCGUGGGGAGCGAACAGG